rnacentral:rRNA from 1 species
CUACGGGUUGCUCCAGUGGGGAAUUUUGGACAAUGGACGCAAGUCUGAUCCAGCCAUUCCGCGUGCAGGACGAAGGCCUUCGGGUUGUAAACUGCUUUUGUACAGAACGAAAAGGUCUCUAUUAAUACUAGGGGCUCAUGACGGUACUGUAAGAAUAAGCACCGGCUAACUACGUGCCAGCAGCCGCGGUAAUACGUAGGGUGCAAGCGUUAAUCGGAAUUACUGGGCGUAAAGCGUGCGCAGGCGGUUAUAUAAGACAGAUGUGAAAUCCCCGGGCUCAACCUGGGAACUGCAUUUGUGACUGUAUAGCUGGAGUGCGGCAGAGGGGGAUGGAAUUCCGCGUGUAGCAGUGAAAUGCGUAGGUAUGCGGAGGAACACCGAUGGCGAAGGCAAUCCCCUGGGCCUGCACUGACGCUCAUGCACGAAAGCGUGGGGAGCAAACAGGAUUAGAUACCCUUGUAGUC